rnacentral:rRNA from 1 species
AUGAACGCUGGCGGCGUGCCUCAUACAUGCAAGUCGAGCGAACAGAUGAGGAGCUUGCUCCUCUGACGUUAGCGGCGGACGGGUGAGUAACACGUGGAUAACCUACCUAUAAGACUGGGAUAACUUCGGGAAACCGGAGCUAAUACCGGAUAAUAUAUUGAACCGCAUGGUUCAAUAGUGAAAGACGGUUUUGCUGUCACUUAUAGAUGGAUCCGCGCCGCAUUAGCUAGUUGGUAAGGUAACGGCUUACCAAGGCAACGAUGCGUAGCCGACCUGAGAGGGUGAUCGGCCAUACUGGAACUGAGACACGGUCCAGACUCCUACGGGAGGCAGCAGUAGGGAAUCUUCCGCAAUGGGCGAAAGCCUGACGGAGCAACGCCGCGUGAGUGAUGAAGGUCUUCGGAUCGUAAAACUCUGUUAUUAGGGAAGAACAAAUGUGUAAGUAACUAUGCACGUCUUGACGGUACCUAAUCAGAAAGCCACGGCUAACUACGUG